UACGUAGGGUGCGAGCGUUGUCCGGAAUUACUGGGCGUAAAGAGCUCGUAGGUGGUUUGUCGCGUUGUCCGUGAAAACUCACAGCUCAACUGUGGGCGUGCGGGCGAUACGGGCAGACUGGAGUACUGCAGGGGAGACUGGAAUUCCUGGUGUAGCGGUGGAAUGCGCAGGAUAUCAGGAGGAACACCGGUGGCGAAGGCGGGUCUCUGGGCAGUAACUGACGCUGGAGGAGCGAAAGCGUCGGGGAGCGAACAGG
rnacentral:rRNA from 1 species